rnacentral:lncRNA from 1 species
CGCCUCCCCGCCGAGGAGCGGCUUCCCCCAGGAGAGCGGUCAGGCCCCCUCCGCGGGGAUUUAUCGCGACAGCGGCGAUACAAGGAGAGGCACAGCCGAAAUCUCCAGAAAGCCAUCGCCGGCCCUGCCCGCGCGGUUUGAGGUCCUUGGGAAUUUUGUCAGAGCUUGAAGACAAACUUGCCGGUAAGGGUGGAAGGGGAAGAAGAGUCGUGUGAUUCACGUUCUGUGUAAAUGCCAAGUGACCGCCAGGAAAAAUCUUUAGCAGAUUUAAGGAUAAUCAGUUACUGCAUGGUGGACUUCAGUUAGCUUCUACUCUCUGAAUAUGCUGAAGAUUGAGAAAAUAAACAUUUUCAAGUAAAACUCCACAUAUCUGCUUAUGCAACCAUAGCAGCACCUCAGACUUUGCUUGUGCAGGACAUACAACGCCCGUCAGUGACGAACAAAUGUGUGAUGGACUUACCCAGCACGUGGUCUUAGAGAAGAAAAGUGCGAUGGGACUGGACUUCUGGAGCCUAAUUAAGUCUACACUGUUUCUGUCAGUGCUGCUGCCACAUUUGAAUGAGGAGGUGACGUAAUCCGUAAUUCACCAUCUGU